GCUGGGUGUAGUGGUGCACACCUGUAAUCCCAGCAGCACGGGAGGCUGAGAAAGGAGGAUCAUGAGUUCAAAGCCAGCCUCAGCAGAAGCAAGGCACUAAGCAACUCAGUAAGACCCUGUCUCUA
rnacentral:sRNA from 1 species